rnacentral:pre_miRNA from 1 species
AUCCAGGUCUGGGGCAUGAACCUGGCAUACAAUGUAGAUUUCUGUGUUUAUAAGGGAACAGCUACAUUGUCUGCUGGGUUUCAGGCUACCUGGAA